rnacentral:rRNA from 1 species
UACGGAGGGUGCAAGCGUUAAUCGGAAUUACUGGGCGUAAAGCGUGCGCAGGCGGUUUGUUAAGUCUGCUGUGAAAUCCCCGGGCUCAACCUGGGAAUGGCAAUGGAUACUGGCGAGCUAGAGUGUGUCAGAGGAUGGUGGAAUUCCCGGUGUAGCGGUGAAAUGCGUAGAGAUCGGGAGGAACAUCAGUGGCGAAGGCGGCCAUCUGGGACAACACUGACGCUGAAGCACGAAAGCGUGGGGAGCAAACAGG